UCAAGGAGUAGGGAUCGGAAAAAAUCUCGAUCCAGAAGCAGAGACAGGAAGAAGUCAAGAUCCAGAAGCAGGGAUAGAAAACGGAGGAUCAGAACACGUUCCCGGUCAAGAUCCAGACACAGGCAUAGGACUAGAAGCAGGAGCAGAUCACGGAGUCGAAGUCGAGAUAGAAAGAAGAGAAUCGAAAAACCAAGAAGAUUUAGCAGAAGCCUAAGCCGGACACCUAGUCCGCCUCCCUUCAGAGGCAGAAACACAGCAAUGGAUGCCCAAGAAGCACUAGCUAGGAGUUAUCACAGUGUAACCUGAUGUGCUGCUGCCCUGUGAAGCCAGCCUGGCAGAAACUCCACUGAACAGCAGCAAAGGUGUGAGCUCACCCCUCCUUCACCCGUUCACCUAGUGAAUGGAGUUGGUUCCGACCUGCAAUGGCCCUGCACAUGCAACCAGUAGUUGUCGUGUUUAGAGCAACGGAGUUACAGAAAUCUAAUUUAUAAUGAUUUGUUUAUUAACUAACAGUAUUUUUGAGCUUUGAAGUUUGCUGUUUCUUAAUCUGUUGUAUUUUCUUUUUUUAACUGUUACUAAGGUAAAAUUACAGGCUGUAUAUCUUUAAUUCUUGCAUCGAGAGGCAGGAGCAUCAAUUCAGAGGCAUUCUUGACUAUGUAAUACUUUGAGGACAGUGUUGGGCCUAUGUAAGACCAAAAAGAAAAACUACAGAGUUGUUACUACUGUCAAGAUUUCUAUUAUAUAGAUCUAUUGUAUAGAUUAUCAGUGAU
rnacentral:lncRNA from 1 species